GAUGAACGCUGGCGGCGUGCCUAAUACAUGCAAGUCGAGCGAACGGACGAGAAGCUUGCUUCUCUGAUGUUAGCGGCGGACGGGUGAGUAACACGUGGAUAACCUACCUAUAAGACUGGGAUAACUUCGGGAAACCGGAGCUAAUACCGGAUAAUAUUUUGAACCGCAUGGUUAAAAAGUGAAAGACGGUCUUGCUGUCACUGAUAGAUGGAUCCGCGCUGCAUUAGCUAGUUGGUAAGGUAACGGCUUACCAAGGCAACGAUGCAUAGCCGACCUGAGAGGGUGAUCGGCCACACUGGAACUGAGACACGGUCCAGACUCCUACGGGAGGCAGCAGUAGGGAAUCUUCCGCAAUGGGCGAAAGCCUGACGGAGCAACGCCGCGUGAGUGAUGAAGGUCUUCGGAUCGUAAAACUCUGUUAUUAGGGAAGAACAUAUGUGUAAGUAACUGUGCACAUCUUGACGGUACCUAAUCAGAAAGCCACGGCUAACUACGUG
rnacentral:rRNA from 1 species